rnacentral:rRNA from 1 species
GACGAACGCUGGCGGCGUGCCUAACACAUGCAAGUAGGACGCACAGUCUAUACCGUAGCUUGCUACACCAUAGGCUGUGAGUUGCGAACGGGUGAGUAACGCGUAGGUAACCUGCCUAUUAGAGGGGGAUAACUAUUGGAAACGAUAGCUAAUACCGCAUAACAGUAUGUAACACAUGUUAGAUGCUUGAAAGAUGCAAUUGCAUCGCUAGUAGAUGGACCUGCGUUGUAUUAGCUAGUAGGUAGGGUAAUGGCCUACCUAGGCGACGAUACAUAGCCGACCUGAGAGGGUGAUCGGCCACACUGGGACUGAGACACGGCCCAGACUCCUACGGGAGGCAGCAGUAGGGAAUCUUCGGCAAUGGGGGGAACCCUGACCGAGCAACGCCGCGUGAGUGAAGAAGGUUGUCGGAUCGUAAAGCUCGGUUGUUAAGGAAGAACGAGUGUGAGAAUGGAAAGUUCAUACUGUGACGGUACUUAACCAGAAAGGGACGGCUAACUACGUG